GGCCCCGUAGCUUAGUUGGCUAGAGCGUUGGCUGUAACCAAAGCCUUCCCUUUGUUGAUGUGGGUUCGAAUCCCACCGAGUCCG
rnacentral:tRNA from 1 species